UGCUGCCCAGUCCUCACACACCCCACGAGAGAGAGCUGGAGCAGAGAGUGCUAGUGAGAGAGAGAGGGGAGUUGCUGCGUUUAUAUUUUGGAGGCGAUGGAAUCAUAGCGCGAGAGGAGAUAUGAUCUGUGGGUGCAUGUCAUCGUCAUAUUAUGAGAAGAGUUGAGCUAGAGAUUAUUUGGUAGCUACGACAUAGCUAAUUGAGUCGCAGUCGAUGUUAAUGUAAGAAGGGGGAGAAGAUGUCGUCGAUCGGAGUUUAGGCUGGAUCAGCGGGUGGGAAGUGGCUUAGAGAAUCUAGUUGCAAUUCCUAUGUAAUUGUAAAUGAACUUGUAAAAAUAAUGUAUUUGAGCUUCUCGAGAUCCACUAUGCUGGUUUA